rnacentral:rRNA from 1 species
GACGAACGCUGGCGGCGUGCUUAACACAUGCAAGUCGAACGGAAAGGCCCUGCUUUUGUGGGGUGCUCGAGUGGCGAACGGGUGAGUAACACGUGAGUAACCUGCCCUUGACUUUGGGAUAACUUCAGGAAACUGGGGCUAAUACCGGAUAGGAGCUCCUGCUGCAUGGUGGGGGUUGGAAAGUUUCGGCGGUUGGGGAUGGACUCGCGGCUUAUCAGCUUGUUGGUGGGGUAGUGGCUUACCAAGGCUUUGACGGGUAGCUGGCCUGAGAGGGUGACCGGCCACAUUGGGACUGAGAUACGGCCCAGACUGCUACGGGAGGCAGCAGUGGGGAAUAUUGCACAAUGGGCGGAAGCCUGAUGCAGCAACGCCGCGUGCGGGAUGACGGCCUUCGGGUUGUAAACCGCUUUCGCCUGUGACGAAGCGUGAGUGACGGUAAUGGGUAAAGAAGCACCGGCUAACUACGUG